rnacentral:rRNA from 1 species
GACGAACGCUGGCGGCGUGCUUAACACAUGCAAGUCGAACGGAAAGGCCCUGCUUUUGUGGGGUGCUCGAGUGGCGAACGGGUGAGUAACACGUGAGUAACCUGCCCUUGACUUUGGGAUAACUUCAGGAAACUGGGGCUAAUACCGUAUAGGAUCUCCUGCUGCAUUGUGGGGGUUGGAAAGUUUCGGCGGUUGGGGAUGGACUCGCGGCUUAUCAGCUUGUUGGUGGGGUAGUGGCUUACCAAGGCUUUGACGGGUAGCCGGCCUGAGAGGGUGACCGGCCACAUUGGGACUGAGAUACGGCCCAGACUCCUACGGGAGGCAGCAGUGGGGAAUAUUGCACAAUGGGCGGAAGCCUGAUGCAGCAACGCCGCGUGCGGGAUGACGGCCUUCGGGUUGUAAACCGCUUUCGCCUGUGACAAAGCGUGAGUGACGGUAAUGGGUAAAGAAGCACCGGCUAACUACGUG